AGAGUUUGAUCAUGGCUCAGGACGAACGCUGGCGGCGUGCUUAACACAUGCAAGUCAAGGGGGCCUGUAGCAAUACAGGCAACCGGCGAACGGGUGCGUAACACGUGAGCAACCUACCGAACUGUGGGGGAUAGCCGGCCUAACGGCCGAGUAAUACCGCAUACGCUUUCGAUGAGGCAUUUCAUUGAAAGGAAACCUACGGGACAGAUCGAGGGGCUCGCGGCCUAUCAGCUAGUUGGCGAGGUAACGGCUCACCAAGGCGACGACGGGUAGCUGGUCUGAGAGGAUGGCCAGCCACAUUGGGACUGAGAUACGGCCCAGACUCCUACGGGAGGCAGCAGUGGGGAAUCUUGCGCAAUGGCCUAACGGCUGACGCAGCGACGCCGCGUGUGGGAUGAAGCUCCUCGGAGUGUAAACCACUGUUGCCCGGGACGAAUAGCUCGAUUAAUCGAGCCUGACGGUACCGGGUGAGGAAGCACCGGCUAACUCCGUGCCAGCAGCCGCGGUAAUACGGGGGGUGCGAGCGUUGUCCGGAAUCACUGGGCGUAAAGGGCGCGUAGGUGGUUUGAUAAGGGUGUGGUGAAAGUCCGGGGCUCAACCCCGGAUCUGCCGUGCCGACUGUCAAACUCGAGGGCUGUAGAGGCAGACGGAAUUCCGGGUGUAGCGGUGGAAUGCGUAGAGAUCCGGAGGAAGACCGGUGGCGAAGGCGGUCUGCUGGGCAGUUUCUGACACUGAUGCGCGACAGCGUGGGGAGCAAACAGGAUUAGAUACCCUGGUAGUCC
rnacentral:rRNA from 1 species